rnacentral:lncRNA from 1 species
CAUUCUUUAUUCUCUCGUAGUAGAGCCAUAGUAGAGUAAAGCACGUGUCGUAAAACCUUGUUGUCACAGUUUCUCCAUGGCUAUUUUAUUGUUUUUAUUGGAUGUUUUGAUUUUGUAUUUUUUUGGAUUCGAUUUUCUUAGUGUGUAGUGUCGGUUUAGUGUUUAUUUUGAUUACUUUUUAUUUAAAAACUAUAAAACAGGUUCGUCAGUGCCAAAUUUGUAAGAAAUUGGACUAUUUAAGUCCUGGAACAACAUUCCACAGAUUAUGCUGCCAAAGUUUCCUGAAUACAAUUCCGACCACUCUGUAUAUCAAGAUAUCCCCCAUUACGUACUAGUUUUUCUUAAUAAUUUUCUAUACAUUUUCCAACGCCAAGAUGUACCAAGCGCAUACAAAUACAUCAAGCUUCAAACAAGCUUGCACGUUGACAGUAAUACCUACAGUAAUAUUGUAUUAUAUUAAUGUAAUAUUUUUGAACCAAUGUUCAAUAUUACUGUAGUAAUACUGUUUAUACUCAUGCCUUUUAUAUUUGUUUGAAUUUGGUGCAUAUUUCCAUUGAAUAAAGUAUAGUCACCAUUACCAUUAUUAUACUUACUCUAUAAUAAAGACAGUAACGAGUUAAA